AUCGAACGCUGGCGGCAUGCCUUACACAUGCAAGUCGAACGGUAACGCGGGGCAACCUGGCGACGAGUGGCGAACGGGUGAGUAAUGCAUCGGAACGUGCCCAGUAGUGGGGGAUAGCCCGGCGAAAGCCGGAUUAAUACCGCAUACGACCUACGGGUGAAAGGGGGGGAUCGCAAGACCUCUCGCUAUUGGAGCGGCCGAUGUCAGAUUAGGUAGUUGGUGGGGUAAAGGCCUACCAAGCCGACGAUCUGUAGCUGGUCUGAGAGGACGACCAGCCACACUGGGACUGAGACACGGCCCUGACUCCUACGGGAGGCAGCAGUGGGGAAUUUUGGACAAUGGGCGCAAGCCUGAUCCAGCCAUGCCGCGUGCGGGAAGAAGGCCUUCGGGUUGUAAACCGCUUUUGUCAGGGAAGAAAUCUUCUGAGUUAAUACCUCGGGAGGAUGACGGUACCUGAAGAAUAAGCACCGGCUAACUACGUGCCAGCCGCCGCCGUAAGAC
rnacentral:rRNA from 1 species